UCAAUGCAUCUGCAACUGUAGAGUUGAAGUGGUCGAACUUCUCGACAAAAUAAGAGAUCUGCUGGACAGCUGUCCUUGCCCACACAGCAGAAGGGGUGGAAGACAAAUAGAAUCAACCCCAGACGUCCCAACAAAAACCCCAAUGGCGCCUAAA